rfam:Solemya velesiana gill symbiont isolate Sveles-Q1 Spervernicosa_sym_scaffold28, whole genome shotgun sequence.
GGUCAAGUGAAUAAGCGCGCAUGGUGGAUGCCUUGGCAGUAAGAGGCGAUGAAGGACGUUGUAGCUUGCGAUAAGCUUCGGGGAGCCAGCAAACAGGCUUUGAUCCGGAGAUCUCCGAAUGGGGAAACCCACCGCUUCGGCGGUAUCCUACACUGAAUACAUAGGUGUGGGAGGCGAACCUGGGGAACUGAAACAUCUAAGUACCCAGAGGAAAAGAAAUCAACCGAGAUUCCCUUAGUAGCGGCGAGCGAAAGGGGAUUAGCCCUUAAGUCAUCAUUGUUUUAGUGGAACAGUCUGGAAAGUCUGGCGAUACAGGGUGAUAGCCCCGUACACGAAAAAACAAUUUUGAUGAAAUCGAGUAGGUCGGGACACGUGUUAUCUUGACUGAAUAUGGGGGGACCAUCCUCCAAGGCUAAAUACUACUUACUGACCGAUAGUGAACUAGUACCGUGAGGGAAAGGCGAAAAGAACCCCGGUGAGGGGAGUGAAAUAGAACCUGAAACCGUGUGCGUACAAGCAGUGGGAGCCCUUCGGGGUGACUGCGUACCUUUUGUAUAAUGGGUCAGCGACUUACUUUCAGUGGCGAGGUUAACCGUAUAGGGGAGCCGUAGGGAAACCGAGUCUUAAUUGGGCGAUUUAGUCUCUGGGAGUAGACCCGAAACCGGGCGAUCUAUCCAUGGCCAGGUUGAAGGUGGGGUAAUACCUACUGGAGGACCGAACCCACUUAUGUUGAAAAAUGAGGGGAUGAGCUGUGGAUCGGAGUGAAAGGCUAAUCAAGCCCGGAGAUAGCUGGUUCUCCCCGAAAGCUAUUUAGGUAGCGCCUCAUGUAUCACUUACGGGGGUAGAGCACUGUUUCGGCUAGGGGGCCAUCCCGGCUUACCAACCCGAUGCAAACUCCGAAUACCGUAAAGUGCAAUCAUGGGAGACACACGGCGGGUGCUAACGUCCGUCGUGGAGAGGGAAACAACCCAGACCGCCAGCUAAGGUCCCAAAAUACAGCUCAGUGGGAAACGAUGUGGGAAGGCCCAGACAGCCAGGAGGUUGGCUUAGAAGCAGCCACCCUUUAAAGAAAGCGUAAUAGCUCACUGGUCAAGUCGGCCUGCGCGGAAGAUUUAACGGGGCUUAAGCUGUAUACCGAAGCUGCGGAUGCAUAUUUAUAUGCAUGGUAGGGGAGCGUUCUGUAAGCCUGUGAAGGUGUGCUGUAAGGCAUGCUGGAGGUAUCAGAAGUGCGAAUGCUGACAUGAGUAACGAUAAUGCGGGUGAAAAGCCCGCACGCCGAAAACCCAAGGGUUCCUGCGCAACGCUAAUCGGCGCAGGGUGAGUCGGAUCCUAAGGCGAGGCCGAAAGGCGUAGUCGAUGGAAAGCAGGUUAAUAUUCCUGUACCGCGUAUUACUGUGAUGGGGUGACGGAGAAGGCUAAACUAGCCGGGUGUUGGAUGUCCCGGUUUAAGCGUGUAGGGAGAGGACUUAGGAAAAUCCGGGUCCUUAAUUCUGAGACGUGAUGACGAGCUCUCUUUUGAGCGAAGUAGUUGAUGCCAUGCUUCCAAGAAAAGCCUCUAAACUUCAGGUAAUACCGUCCGUACCCCAAACCGACACAGGUGGGUGAGGAGAGAAUCCUAAGGCGCUUGAGAGAACUCGGGUGAAGGAACUAGGCAAAAUGGUACCGUAACUUCGGGAGAAGGUACGCCCUUGGUAUGUGAUGCCCCUGCGGGCGGAGCAGAAGAGGGUUGCAAAAACCAGGUGGCUGCGACUGUUUAUUAAAAACACAGCACUCUGCAAACACGUAAGUGGACGUAUAGGGUGUGACGCCUGCCCGGUGCCGGAAGGUUAAUUGAUGGGGUUAGUCCUCGGACGAAGCUCUUGAUCGAAGCCCCGGUAAACGGCGGCCGUAACUAUAACGGUCCUAAGGUAGCGAAAUUCCUUGUCGGGUAAGUUCCGACCUGCACGAAUGGCGUAACGAUGGCCACACUGUCUCCACCCGAGACUCAGUGAAAUUGAAAUUGCGGUGAAGAUGCCGUAUACCCGCGGCUAGACGGAAAGACCCCGUGAACCUUUACUACAGCUUUGCACUGAACUUUGAGUAUGUCUGUGUAGGAUAGCUGGGAGGCUUUGAAACCAUGACGCCAGUUGUGGUGGAGCCAACCUUGAAAUACCAGCCUGACAUGCUUGAGGUUCUAACCCAGGUCCGUUAUCCGGAUCGGGGACAGUGUAUGGUGGGUAGUUUGACUGGGGCGGUCUCCUCCCAAAGAGUAACGGAGGAGCACAAAGGUACCCUCAGCGCGGUCGGAAAUCGCGCAAUGAGUGCAAUAGCAUAAGGGUGCUUGACUGCGAGACAUACACGUCGAGCAGGUACGAAAGUAGGUUAUAGUGAUCCGGUGGCUCUGUAUGGAAGGGCCAUCGCUCAACGGAUAAAAGGUACUCCGGGGAUAACAGGCUGAUUCCUCCCAAGAGUUCAUAUCGACGGAGGAGUUUGGCACCUCGAUGUCGGCUCAUCACAUCCUGGGGCUGUAGCCGGUCCCAAGGGUAUGGCUGUUCGCCAUUUAAAGUGGUACGCGAGCUGGGUUUAGAACGUCGUGAGACAGUUCGGUCCCUAUCUGCCGUGGGCGUUGGAGAUUUGAGAGGAGCUGCUCCUAGUACGAGAGGACCGGAGUGGACGUACCUCUGGUGUUCCGGUUGUCACGCCAGUGGCAUUGCCGGGUAGCUAUGUACGGACGGGAUAACCGCUGAAAGCAUCUAAGCGGGAAGCCUCCCUCAAGAUGAGAUCUCCCUGGACUCUUGAAGUCCUUGAAGGGCCGUUGAAGACUACGACGUUGAUAGGCUAGGUGUGGAAGCGCAGUAAUGCGUGAAGCUAACUAGUACUAAUUGCCCGUGAGGCUUGACCAU